AUUGAUUUUAGUUGUGUGUUAGGAUUUUUGUGGUAAAAUAUGAAAUUUUGUUUAUUAUUUUUUAUUAUUUUAAAGUAAAUAAGAUGAUUUGGAUUAGUACCCAAGUAAUUUUUAUUUAGUAGUACAGGAGUAUAAUGAUGUUAAAACUGAAACUAUUUUUGGGAGACUUAAAAUUUAUUUUUGGAGAUUGACGAGUAAGUGAGGACCCUCAUUACUAACUAUUAUUUUGGUGGUAUGUAUGAUCGUUUAUUUUGAUAUUAAGUGUUUGAAAGUAAAAUUGUUAGUUUUAAAGAUAGAUAGAUAUAUAUUAUAUGUAAUAGCUUUUGUUGACCUACAGUGUUAUUAUAAUUUGGAUUUUUAUUGUUGGUGAUAAAAUGAAAGUGGAAAAGACAGUAAAUUAAUUUUAAUGUUUAAUUGGAGAUAUUUUUUUGGGU
rnacentral:rRNA from 1 species